rnacentral:rRNA from 1 species
AACGAACGCUGGCGGCAUGCCUAACACAUGCAAGUCGAACGAGACCUUCGGGUCUAGUGGCGCACGGGUGCGUAACGCGUGGGAACCUGCCCUUAGGUUCGGAAUAACUCCCCGAAAUGGGUGCUAAUACCGGAUAAUGUCUUCGGACCAAAGAUUUAUCGCCUUUGGAUGGGCCCGCGUUGGAUUAGCUAGUUGGUAGGGUAAAAGCCUACCAAGGCGACGAUCCAUAGCUGGUCUGAGAGGAUGAUCAGCCACACUGGGACUGAGACACGGCCCAGACUCCUACGGGAGGCAGCAGUGGGGAAUAUUGGACAAUGGGCGAAAGCCUGAUCCAGCAAUGCCGCGUGAGUGAUGAAGGCCUUAGGGUUGUAAAGCUAUUUUACCCGGGAUGAUAAUGACAGUACCGGGAGAAUAAGCUCCGGCUAACUCCGUG